GCGCUCCCUUCAGCAGCACAUAUACUAAAAUUGGAGUGAUACAGAGAUUAGCAUGGCCCCUGUACAAGGAUGACACGCAAAUUCAUGAAGCGUUCCAUAUAAAA